UGAGAGGGGAAAUGGUAAAUACAUAUGGUAAGAAAUAGUAAAUUGUCAGGUUAGGUUUGUUAGGGGCUGAAGAACCUGAGCUGUGGACUGGAGGCAGCGGCGCGGCAAGAUGAGCAAGAGGCAGGGUCCGCCGAAGCACCAAAACCGGUACGCAUGGAAACCCAAAGCCGGCCACAAAAUCAACGAAACGGAAGUUGGAGGGAAGCUCAGACCAUACUCGGAGAUCACCGGGGUGUGCCCUCGCUGUAAAGAACAGAUCGAUUGGAAACGCCGUUACGGCAAAUACAAGCCCCUCUCUGAGCCUGCCAAAUGUCAACGAUGCUCUAAACGUGCAGUCCGUCAGGCUUACCAUAAUUUAUGUUCUGCUUGUGCAAAGGAGCAAAAUGUUUGUGCAAAGUGUUGUUGCCUCGUGGACCAUAUAGUUGGAAGGUUUGGUUGAUUUUGUUUAACUAUGUGAAUAAAGGAUUUGCUGGUAUUUCGAGUUGGAUGGUGAUUUGGUUUUCUGAAUUUUCAUGUUAAUUUUGAAAACUAUGCAAGUUCAAAUGUUUUCUGCUUUUUGUUUAUAGAGAUUCUGCUGAAGUGGAGGCUGAGCAAAAGAUACUCGAGGAGGCAUGUUUGGCUGUGUUGUGCAAUUUGUAUGUGUAGUUAAACAUUUAUAUUGACGUUUAGUUGGAGUUUAUUGAGCUUACAAUCUAUUGCUGGCCAUUAAGAAUGCUAGAGAAAGGGAUCGGAGGACUCUCCUACGCACUGUAAGUUCCCUGGGCUAAUGUUCAUAUCCUAUUGUGCAUAGAGGUUUUUGGUGCAUAUUGUUCAUCUCAAUGUUUUUGACACGUAACAUGAACUAUUUAAACUAAAUGAUCAUAUCUAAGUCUCUCCAUUUGAAAUCUUUUUAUCCUAACAAAGCAUAAAUAAAAUGUAAUGAAUCAAUUGGGAUUAACAUGUGCAUCUAUGAAUGCAUAUUGAAUUUUUGAUAUAACUGGCAUAUGAUAUUUGAUUGACCUACUUAUGGAAUUACUAUCAUAGUCAUGCAGAAGAACAGAUGGGUGUAAAAAUUUAAUGGUUGAAACAGUAAUGGUCAAGCUUUGAGGAUCUCUUUUCUUAAUAAGCUACUACCCUUAUUACUUCGUCUGUGGCAGCUUUCCUAGGUUUCUUCUUGGCCUAUUGCAAGUUUUUCUGAACUAAGCUGUACAUACAUGAAUUGCUGGAGGUAGGGCCUUGUUAGGGGUCAGUAGUCAGUCAGUUUAGUUCAGAGCUGAAUUGAGCUGAUCAAAUCAAAUAAAUCGAAUCUUUUAAAAUCCUAGAACACAUUGAAACUGAUUUUAGAAAACAUUUUAAUAUACUUUUCAAAGUAGAGAAAUGAAACUGUUAAAUAAUAAUAGUAAAAUAUAUAAUACUAUAGCUGAUCUCCUAUAGCUCUAACAAGAAUAGAGUAGCUAGAUGCAUUGUGUUUCACACACACACAGAGAAAGAGAGAUGGUUUUCUUUCUUUCCUCCCCUUUUUUUAUCAUUAUGCAAGUUUUUCAUGAACUAGAGAACCAAAUUUUACCCUGAUCUCCAAGGAACCAAAAUUUUCAAGGAUUUUUUUUGGGCAAGGUAUCAUUUCUGCAAAAUGACUGGAACCCAAAUAUGCAGUAAAUAAAAGCAAGUCUCCAAAAUUAAAAAUAAAAUAAAAUA
rnacentral:misc_RNA from 1 species